rnacentral:rRNA from 1 species
UACGAAGGGGGCUAGCGUUGCUCGGAAUCACUGGGCGUAAAGCGCACGUAGGCGGGUUUGUAAGUAGGGGGUGAAAUCCCAGAGCUCAACUCUGGAACUGCCUUCUAAACUGCAAGCCUGGAGGUCAGGAGAGGCGAGUGGAAUACCGAGUGUAGAGGUGAAAUUCGUAGAUAUUCGGUGGAACACCAGUGGCGAAGGCGACUCGCUGGACUGAUACUGACGCUGAGGUGCGAAAGCGUGGGGAGCAAACAGG